AUCACAUGACCCGCUAAGACGGCGGCGAACGUACCGCGCAAACAAGUUUAUCCGCACAAUAGUCUAGAUCGGUGUCGACACUAAAAUCCUGAAAAGUAAAACCGACGAAAAAACUAUCUGAUAGUUACAAUGGAACUGCUUAAUAAUAAUAAGAAUAUUUAAACAUUCGUUCUUAACAGAAAUUCAAGCUGUUAAUAAUUUUCUUUUUAAAGAAAUACUUUAGUGUUAGUCAUAUGCGCAUUAUUCUCACUCCCGUUGACCCGAGUGAAGAGGUGGAGGCUGUACGUACAUGACCGGGAGGUAGUUGAUUCAAGAAGGUUUACGUUAUAUUUACACACGCAUACACAUAUAUGUAUAUAUGUAUGUUUAUACAUAUAAAUAUGUACAUAUAGACUGUGAAAGAGGAUUGCGAUUCUCUUUAAGAUUUUUGAAAGUUAAAAAAAAAAAAGCGUCCCCCCCUCCCGCAAAACAACACAAACUGGAUACUUGAUCGUGAAAUCUACGUAUAAAUGGAGUGUCCGCAUCUUGAGGAAAGUGCAAAAAUCACGGCGCCCUCUGUAAAGUCAGAAAACCUUCCCCAGCAGUUUACUUGUUCAGUGUGUAAAACAGAAAAAAGUCCCUGGAUUUGUUUAUGUUGUGGAGUGGUAAAUUGCGGCAGAUAUGUUAAUGGUCAUGCAAGGAAGCACCAAGAAGAAGACAAUGCACGUGCACAUUCAGUAUGCAUGGACUGUGAUAGUUAUUCGGCCUUUUGUUACGUCUGUGAUGAAUUUGUGGUCAAUGAUACCAAAGGAGGACAUCUUGAAAAACUCCGAAAACAUCUUCAGUCACUGAACAGUCCACAGAGCCGGCUGAGAGACAAAUCUAAAAGAAUUUCUCAAACAGAUUCAGUUGAAAAUAACAAAAGGAAAAAAAUGAAAUUGGACAAAGAUGCCAAUCCAAGAUCAUCUGGGCUUCGAAAUUUGGGGAACACAUGUUUUAUGAAUGCAGUUUUACAGUCACUCAGCAAUAUAGAGGAAUUUUGUGGUUACAUUAAACGUUUACCUUCUUUGGAAGAUCAAGUAUACAAAAUGAGGAAAUGUCAUUAUGCUAAACGAACAAAAAAUGGGGAAGAUGUGCUUUUAGUGGAAGAACUGCGGAAAACAUUGAUAGCUUUAUGGCAGGGAACCAAGACAGCUAUAUCCCCAGAUUCUCUCUUCUCAGUCAUCUGGCAAGUUGUACCCAGAUUUAGAGGUUACCAACAACAAGAUGCCCACGAGUUCAUGCGCUACUUAUUAGACCGACUACAUACAGAAUUACUCACUCUUUUACCGUACCCAAAUGACAACAGUCCGUUUAUUGGUCCAAAAGGCAAAAGUACAAUUGUGACUGCCAUUUUCGGUGGUUUACUUCAGAAUGAGGUCAAUUGUUUGAUAUGUAAUAUGGAAUCUAAAAAACACGAUCCUUUUCUUGAUUUAUCAAUAGAUAUUCCAAUCCAGUAUUGUUCAAAAACAGCUCUCAAAUCCAAAGAAAGUGAAGGAAGGUGUAAAUUAACUGAUUGUUUGACCAGUUUCACAGAUAUAGAAGAAUUAGAAGAAUCAGAACUUUAUAUGUGUAGCAACUGUAAGAAAAAACAACAUUCAACUAAAAAGUUUUGGAUUAGACGUUUACCAAAUGUUUUAUGCUUGCAUUUGAAGAGAUUUCGGUGGAAUUCUGUGUUUAGAUUAAAAAUUGAGACUUUUGUUGAGUUUCCAAUACGUGGUCUUGAUAUGAACCGAUAUGUGUUAAACAACUUGCAUGAGACACGAGGUAGCUUCUCUGGCAGCAACCUUUAUGAUUUAGCUGCUGUUAUUGUCCACCAUGGUUCUGGUGCUGGUUCAGGACAUUAUACUUCAUAUGCUAUUCACAAAGGUGUUUGGUACCACUUUAAUGACAGCAAUGUCACAGUAUGCAAUGAAGAGACUGUGUCACGCUGUAAAGCCUAUAUCUUGUUCUAUGUGCGACGUGAAUUCAAGCUUCCAGAAAAUAUUGGAGUAAACAAUAAACUUGAUGAUUAGAUAAUCCAUGCAUAUAUGUAGGCAGACCGCCAUGCCUCACACAUACACGUACACACACACGUAUACACCCACACAUACACACACACACACACACAUUUACAGUUGAAAGUCUGUGCAAAGCGUUUUCUUUUUCUAGCCAUGUUGUCUUUGCUUUGUGUUUUAAUGAAUUCAGAAAUAUCAGAUGAUAAUCGUAAUGAUAAUAACAGUUUCUAAUUUCGGCACGAGGCCAGCAAUUUCAGGGACAUGGUAAGCCAAUUGUAUCGACCUCAUACUUAACUGGUACUUAUUUUAUCGACCCUGAAAGAUGAAGGGCAAAGUCAACCUUGGUGGAAUUUGAACUUAGAAUGCAAAGCUGGAUGAAAUACCAUGAAGCAUUUUGCCCAGUGUGCUAAUGAUGUUGCCAGCUUUCCACCCUAAUCAUAACGAUAAUAAUAACAGCAAUAAUGAUUCGGCUCCUAUUUCAGUGGGUGGGGGUAUUUAUUUUUAUCUUCCUUUAACAUCUACCAAAGCCUAAUCAUAUGAAGUCAUCUCAAGUUAUCCUAUUUUAUCUUGGCACACAUUUAAUACAGUUGGUUGUAGGUUCAAUCCCUGAUGUGUGACAACUUAAACAAGCAUCUUGUACCAUAGCCUCUGGUUGACCAGUGCCUCGAGAAUGGAAUUUAGUUGACUUCUUAUAUAGACAGUCACUGUUUUGGGGAUGAUAGACUAAUCUUUCACUUGGUUUAAUACUUUAACCCUUUAGCAUUCAGAUUACUCUGUGUCAAACGUAAUGCUUAUUUAUUCGCAUUGUUUUGAAUUAAUCAUGCAUAAUCUUAUAGCUUUAAGAUUUUGAUAAUGUGAUUAUUAUUUUUAGAAUGAUAUAGGGUAGGUG
rnacentral:misc_RNA from 1 species